rnacentral:sRNA from 1 species
CGGCCGCGGAAGCCUGGAGUGGGCGGUACGCAGACGCGCGCGGUGAGACCCGCUGUCUGCUCAGCGGACUCUGCCCGCCCCCACCUCCCCCUGCGUCGGGCCGACAUGAAGGACUCGCUGGUGCUGCUGGGCCGUGUCCCGGCGCACCCGGACUCCCGCUGCUGGUUCCUGGCCUGGAACCCCGCGGGGACCCUGCUGGCCUCGUGCGGCGGCGACCGGAGAAUCCGCAUCUGGGGCACGGAGGGUGACAGCUGGAUCUGCAAGUCUGUCCUUUCUGAAGGCCACCAGCGCACCGUGCGGAAGGUAGCCUGGUCCCCCUGCGGUAAUUACCUGGCCUCUGCCAGCUUUGAUGCUACCACUUGCAUUUGGAAGAAGAACCAGGAUGACUUUGAGUGUGUAACCACUCUCGAGGGCCAUGAAAAUGAGGUCAAGUCAGUGGCUUGGGCCCCAUCUGGCAACCUCCUGGCCACUUGCAGCCGAGAUAAGAGCGUUUGGGUCUGGGAAGGUGAGGCCAGGUCCCUCCAGGUGGAUUGGGAACCACCUGACAGCCCCCUCUGUGUCCCUGACAGGGUCGGCUCUUGGGUCCCCUUUUUCUCUCCCACAGUUGAUGAAGAGGAUGAGUAUGAAUGUGUCAGUGUUCUCAACUCCCACACACAGGAUGUCAAGCAUGUGGUUUGGCACCCAAGUCAGGAGGUAAGAGUCAAGCAGGGACUCUUGUGGGAAGGGCUCUGGUGUGCAGGCUUGUGCC